rnacentral:misc_RNA from 1 species
UUUUUUUUUUUUUUUUUUUGGAAAAAAAUGCACAGCAUUUCAUUAAUAAUACAAGGCUACAAGCAAGGGGAUGCCCCCUAUGGAAAACAUUAUGAACUGACCAAGGAAAAAAGUCAAAUAUAGAAUCCCAUGCUCUAUAAAAGCUCACAAAGUAAAGCCAAGUACUGUUAGCCCAGAAGGAAAUAUAUACAUCGUACAUUAUAUUUGAGCCAAUUGCAGAUCCUCUAGCUCCUCCAAAAAUCCUCCUCUCGAAAGAUGUCAUAAAUGCUAAGAGACUCAUCCGAUACUACAAUUAACUCUGCCAACCAUGGAUACCAAGAGUCAACCAAGUUACAAAAGAUUCUCUGGCAGACUCCGAGACAAUUUGAACGAACUGCAAAAGAGGUUUAACUUGUUGUUCUGUUAAGACCCUGUUCUGGUUCGGCUACCAGGACUAGAAACAGUCCUCACACUAAGAGAUUCAGAUGAACUAUGCAAGUCCCGCUGACUGGAUGAAGCACUUCCUCGGAGACCAUGAGAUGGAACAUGGCGGGGAGAUCUGGAAGAUGGCUCACUCCCUCUAAAAGUUUCAGUCUCCAACAUCUUGGCUUCAUCAAUCAGCAUUGAUAACCGAAUUUCAUUCUCUCUCAAGCGAUCUUGGAGUGCAUUUAUAGCAGGACUUAAACAAUAUUCGAUCAAUUUGCACAUGGAAGCUUGAUAAGUUGCUGUGUGAUGUAUGAAGGUAAGGGGGUGUACUUUUCCAUCCCUCAAAUUUUGCAAGAUAGCUUGGUUAUAUGCUCCCCGCUCCUCUUCAUAUAAUACACGUUGCAAAUCCGUGAAUGACGUUAGAGGUGAAUCUAGCUUAAGAAGAGACCAUGUUGGCAAAACAUGAAGAGGAAUUUCUUUUCUGAUGUAUUCUGCACCACUCAUUUCCAAAUUUGAGCGGUGCAUAGCUUCUUGCAUACUUUCUGACAUAUCCAUGGGGUCGAUAUCAACAAAUGUGUUGUCUGAAUUGGCAGUGUGGUAGUUGCCUCCUAUUCUCUCUCUCCCAACAUAGUUGGCAUCAGCAUUUGCAAAGAAAUCCCCCAAGUCCAAAGAUUUUACCCCACCCUUACUUGAUCCUGCAGUUGUUCUUGAAUCACCAGUGUCUUGCUCUGGGUUCUCUACUCUUGCAGAUCCAGAUCUUGCUGAUGUAUUUUCUGAGGAACUUAAUGAUGACUCAACAUCUAUGUAACUUCUAUUCACAGGUGAUACAGAAAUUGGUCUUGAUAUGUUAUUUUGCUUUCCAUCUGACGACUGGAAAGCAAUGACUUGGAUUCUUCCAACCUUAUUUACAUCUUCACUGAAACAUGAAAAUAUCAGCCCGAUAAAGCCAGGAUCUAGAAGUUGAUACAUUGCCUGCGUUCGCACAUCUACAUGAGAAGGUAAAACUGUAAUAUGAGGAUGUGAAUGGUACCACCCUAUCACCCUUGUUGUCCGUCCUGUUGAUGUGGUCAUUCUCUCAGCCUGAGCUGAUGCAGCAGCCAACUGUUCUGGAUUUGUCUCUACACGAUCCUUUCGCCGAUCAGAUCUUGACUGAGGUGAAGCUCCCCAGAUUAGUGCAGUUACACCCCCAUUUUUAGAGUACUCAAUAUCACCAAGAAGAAGGCCCAUAAUCUCCUCAGUCUCUGUAGACAAUGCAUGGGUGAGGCACGUUAACCAGACAUCAUCAGACAUUUUAACGCUUGUUAGAGACAUAUUGAAAAUCCGAUAAGCCUGAGAUUUCCGAAGAGAUCUUUGAGCUUUCUCUUUUAUCUGCGUGGGUUUUGGAGAAGAGUCCU